UCUAGUCUUAUAAUGCAAAAAAUGUCCAGUAUUUGUAAGACUAAAUGAGACACACCAUUGACAUGCUACUAAUUAAGGUAGCAGCUUUAUCGUGGAUAAGUCUUCAUGUGGUCAUUGGAGAAGAUUUAGAUAACUCUACGUCCUCCUCCUCCUCAGACCAAAAUAAUCUCGCUUUGGUCCACAUCGGAAAAUGUCCAGGGUCCAAAAUUACUCAAAACGAGCUUAGAAUUCCAUCCUGGUUGAAAUUAAAGGGACACAAUGCCACUCUCGUUUUCAGGUUGGCCAACUUUGAACCCGGUCUAGAGAAAACUUGCAUUCCGAAAUGUUGUCCUUUGGAAAUUAUUAAAAUUGGACGGAGAUGGACUAACUCAAUCCUGUGUACCGUCUGGACCAGUGAAAUGGACGCCACGAGUUUAUCCCUCUCGUGACGAUCUUUCCGGAGUGGGCGCUAAGCCACUUCUUCCAACAGAUCCCAAACCCCUCCACUACAAAUUUAACGGAGGCGGCCGGAACCCUGAUACCCAUCACUUAUCGAGCAAUUAAUUUUAGCGAAGUAGGAGAGGAACCGUUUCAUGCCUCACCAUUUCGCCUGCUCGACAAUGGCUCCAUGAUCAUCCUCGUUCUCGAACCAGAAAAUGGCGACGGGAGCGAAUGUGGCGAAGUUAUUCACAGAUAUCCAAUUCACAACAAGUUUUGCGUGGACGGAUUUAUCGUCGGGGAUGACACAGUUUACGAUGGGAGUGAAAUCGAUCAGAUCGCGUUCCUUCCGUGGGUCUCAGAAGAGGACGAAAACGUAACUUCUAAAUAGCUUUACAAUUUUGGUGUCAUUUUUUUAAAUUGCAAUUUUGUGAUACACGACCAACACGAAAAUCAAAGUGUCCUUCGUACUGCUCGGAAUCGUCUUUUUGGUUCUCACGAUGCUCAUGAAUCUCGUGAUAUGGCCUAAACACAAAAUUCACAAUCACGGUCUUCUCAUUUGUGGUUUCGAUGCUCAUCUUUUUUAUAACGCUGGCCACAGUGCACAUCACUGAUUUGACGUCAACGAGGGAAGUUCUGGGAACCGGAUCCUGUCUUUUAGUCACAAUUUUGGGACAUUUCACCUUCCUCUGUGCCCUUUGUUGGCAUUGUUAGAUGAGCAUUAUGAAUUUCGACUUUUGGACGACGUUUAGAAUUUUGUCCUCAUCUCAAAGACAUAGAAAAAGUGUGGAACGUUAUGCUCGCUACCCCCCUUUUUGCGGUGGGGUGUGCCCAGUAUCAUCGUUGGGAUUUCUGUUGUUCUGCACUUCACUCUCGGUGAAGAAUAUCACGACAAUCACAAUGGAUUCCUGUCCGGUUAUGGAACAACGAAAUGUCAACUGCACCCUUGUUCCCAAAAGUACUUCUUGUACAUCCUGAUGGCAUUUCUGCUCGGCUUUAACCUCAUCAUGUUUUCUUGGACGGUCUUCACCUUAUGGUUUCUUAAACUGGGACUUUGUCUUACUUGAUGUCAUCAAUUUACUCCAAGCAGUCUCCAUUUUCUUCAUUUUUACGGUAAAGAGGGAGAAUUUGUUAUGGAUUUAUAAACGGUAUCGCUGCUGGAAAAGAUUUAUCGCACCAAUUGUGCGCACGAGAUGUUGUUACGUGGCAGAAUUGGAUGUAGAGCAGACGGAAAUGACUUCAGCGGAGAAAAACAGGACACUAGUGAUUUUUAAAGCGAGGGGGUCAGGAUCCUCGGAAAAUU